UAGGGAAUCUUCCACAAUGGACGAAAGUCUGAUGGAGCAACGCCGCGUGAGUGAAGGAGGGUUUCGGCUCGUAAAACUCUGUUGUUAAAGAAGAACAUAUCUGAGAGUAACUGUUCAGGUAUUGACGGUAUUUAACCAGAAAGCCACGGCUAACUACGUGCCAC
rnacentral:rRNA from 1 species